UACGGAGGGUGCAAGCGUUAUCCGGAUUCACUGGGUUUAAAGGGUGCGUAGGCGGCCCGUUAAGUCAGUGGUGAAAGCCUCCAGCUCAACUGGAGAACUGCCAUUGAUACUGACGGGCUUGAGUACAGACGAGGUUGGCGGAAUUGAUUGUGUAGCGGUGAAAUGCAUAGAUACAAUCAAGAACACCGAUUGCGUAGGCAGCUAACUAGGCUGUAACUGACGCUGAGGCACGAAAGCGUGGGGAGCGAACAGG
rnacentral:rRNA from 1 species